rnacentral:rRNA from 1 species
UACGUAGGGUGCGAGCGUUAAUCGGAAUUACUGGGCGUAAAGCGUGCGCAGGCGGUGCUGUAAGACCGAUGUGAAAUCCCCGGGCUUAACCUGGGAACUGCAUUGGUGACUGCAGCGCUGGAGUAUGGCAGAGGGGGGUGGAAUUCCACGUGUAGCAGUGAAAUGCGUAGAGAUGUGGAGGAACACCGUUGGCGAAGGCAGCCCCCUGGGCCAAUACUGACGCUCAUGCACGAAAGCGUGGGGAGCAAACAGG